CAGCCAAGUCCUUUGGAACCGCUGGUCUUGCUGGCGGUUUGUCGCUGGUCUCUCUAGCGACAUGUUGCUGGUCUCGCUGGCGACAUAAACCCUCCGGACAAUCAAUUGCCAACGUAUAUGCCCCCAUUGGCGGGGUCCUUUACACAGUCAGGUUGUCAAUUUCAUAUUGACUUCCAAUUCAUAUAUUAUUUUCAAAAUAAUAUAAAUAAAUGAUAUUCGAGUCAAAUCAAUCAUAUCAUUCUUUAUGAUCAUACAUCAUCAUAAUAAUUUUUCAACAAAUAACUUCAAUCAUAAAUAAUUUCUACAAUUAACUUUAAUCAUAAAUAAUUU
rnacentral:lncRNA from 1 species